rnacentral:rRNA from 1 species
UACGUAGGGUGUAAGCGUUAAUCGGAAUUACUGGGCGUAAAGCGUGCGCAGGCGGUCUCGCAAGUCCGAUGUGAAAUCCCCGGGCUCAACCUGGGAACUGCGUUGGAAACUACGAGGCUAGAGUACGGCAGAGGGGGGUGGAAUUCCACGUGUAGCAGUGAAAUGCGUAGAUAUGUGGAGGAACACCGAUGGCGAAGGCAGCCCCCUGGGCUAGUACUGACGCUCAUGCACGAAAGCGUGGGGAGCAAACAGG